rnacentral:rRNA from 1 species
AGUGAACGCUGGCGGUAGGCCUAACACAUGCAAGUCGAACGGCAGCACAGUAAGAGCUUGCUCUUACGGGUGGCGAGUGGCGGACGGGUGAGGAAUACAUCGGAAUCUACUUUUUCGUGGGGGAUAACGUAGGGAAACUUACGCUAAUACCGCAUACGACCUACGGGUGAAAGCAGGGGAUCUUCGGACCUUGCGCGAUUGAAUGAGCCGAUGUCGGAUUAGCUAGUUGGCGGGGUAAAGGCCCACCAAGGCGACGAUCCGUAGCUGGUCUGAGAGGAUGAUCAGCCACACUUGAACUGAGACACGGUCCAGACUCCUACGGGAGGCAGAAGGGGGGAAUAUUGGACAUGGGCGCAAGCCUGAUCCAGCCAUACCGCGUGGGUGAAGAAGGCCUUCGGGUUGUAAAGCCCUUUUGUUGGGAAAGAAAAGCAGCAGGUUAAUACCCCGCUGUUCUGACGGUACCCAAAGAAUAAGCACCGGCUAACUUCGUG